rnacentral:rRNA from 1 species
UACGUAGGGAGCAAGCGUUGUCCGGAAUCAUUGGGCGUAAAGCGCGCGUAGGUGGCCCCGUAAGUCCGCUGUGAAAGUCCAGGGCUCAACCCUGGGAUGCCGGUGGAUACUGUCGGGCUCGAGUCCGGAAGAGGAGUGUGGAAUUCCCGGUGUAGCGGUGAAAUGCGCAGAUAUCGGGAAGAACACCGAUGGCGAAGGCAAUCCCCUGGGCCUGCACUGACGCUCAUGCACGAAAGCGUGGGGAGCAAACAGG